UACGUAGGUGGCAAGCGUUGUCCGGAAUUAUUGGGCGUAAAGCGCGCGCAGGCGGUCUUUUAAGUCUGAUGUGAAAUCUCGCGGCUCAACCGCGAGCGGUCAUUGGAAACUGGGAGACUUGAGUACAGUAGAGGAGAGUGGAAUUCCACGUGUAGCGGUGAAAUGCGUUGAGAUGUGGAGGAACACCAGUGGCGAAGGCGACUCUCUGGUCUGUAACUGACGCUGAGGCUCGAAAGCGUGGGGAGCGAACCGG
rnacentral:misc_RNA from 1 species